UAACCUGGAGGAAGGUGGGGAUGACGUCAAAUCAUCAUGCCCCUUAUGCUUAGGGCUACACACGUGCUACAAUGGGUAGUACAGAGGGUUGCCAAGCCGUAAGGUGGAGCUAAUCCCUUAAAGCUACUCUCAGUUCGGAUUGUAGGCUGAAACUCGCCUACAUGAAGCUGGAGUUACUAGUAAUCGCAGAUCAGAAUGCUGCGGUGAAUGCGUUCCCGGGUCUUGUACACACCGCCCGUCACACCCCGGGCGUUGGAGACGCCCGAAGCCGAUUAUCUAACCUUUUGGAAGAAGUCGUCGAAGGUGGAAUCAAUAACUGGGGUGAAGUCGUAACAAGGUAGCCGUAUCGGAAGGUGCGGCUGGAUCACCUCCUUUCUAAGGAGA
rnacentral:rRNA from 1 species